UCAGUGCCGCAGCUAACGCAUUAAGCAUUCCGCCUGGGGAGUACGACCGCAAGGUUGAAACUCAAAGGAAUUGACGGGGACCCGCACAAGCGGUGGAGCAUGUGGUUUAAUUCGAUGCUACGCGAAGAACCUUACCAGGACUUGACAUCUUCUGUUAACCUAAGAGAUUAGGUGUCCCCUUCGGGGGCAGAAUGACAGGUGGUGCAUGGUUGUCGUCAGCUCGUGUCGUGAGAUGUUGGGUUAAGUCCCGCAACGAGCGCAACCCUUGUCUUUAGUUGCCAGCAUUAAGUUGGGCACUCUAGAGAGACUGCCGGUGAUAAACCGGAGGAAGGUGGGGAUGACGUCAAAUCAUCAUGCCCCUUAUGUCCUGGGCUACACACGUGCUACAAUGGACGGUACAACGAGUCGCGAAACCGCAAGGUCAAGCUAAUCUCUUAAAGCCGUUCUCGGUUCGGAUUGUAGGCUGCAACUCGCCUACAUGAAGUGGAAUCGCUAGUAAUC
rnacentral:rRNA from 1 species